AUGCGAUAACUAGUGUGAAUUGCAGAAUUCCGUGAAUCAUCGAGUCUUUGAACGCACAUUGCGCCCCCUGGUAUUCCGGGGGGCAUGCCUGUCCGAGCGUCAUUGCUGCCCAUCAAGCACGGCUUGUGUGUUGGGUCGUCGUCCCCUCUCCGGGGGGGACGGGCCCCAAAGGCAGCGGCGGCACCGCGUCCGAUCCUCGAGCGUAUGGGGCUUUGUCACCCGCUCUGUAGGCCCGGCCGGCGCUUGCCGAACGCAAAUCAAUCUUUUUCCAGGUUGACCUCGGAUCAGGUAGGGAUACCCGCUGAACUUAA
rnacentral:misc_RNA from 1 species